rnacentral:misc_RNA from 1 species
AAGUCGUAACAAGGUUUCCGUAGGUGAACCUGCGGAAGGAUCAUUAACAAAUUAACAAUGAGUACUUGACAGUGAUCGGUGCUUAGUGCAUUAACGCUAGCCGAGUACGCUUGUGCAAAGCCUGCGUCUGUAGAGAUUAAUUUCUCUAGAGAUGCACAACCAACAAGUAACCUGGGGUACUUUAAGAUGAAGUGCUUUACUGUGCUCUGUCUUAGAGCCCUCCUAAUAAUCCCUCUUUUUUACCAUUUUACCCCUUUAUAAACUAUAAGACUGAUAUGACAUGAUAAAUGUCAAAUAUAAAACUAUAAAACAACUCUUAACAAUGGAUAUCUAGGCUCUG